rnacentral:tRNA from 1 species
UCUGGUUUAACAUAUAUUAAUGUGUAAAAUUUAUCAAGUCUUUUGCUUGUUUAUACCGUAAUUUA